GAUGAACGCUGGCGGCGUGCUUAACACAUGCAAGUCGAACGAAGCAUUUGCGACAGAUUUUUUCGGAAUGAAGUUGCUUAUGACUGAGUGGCGGACGGGUGAGUAACGCGUGGGUAACCUGCCUUGUACUGGGGGAUAGCAGCUGGAAACGGCUGGUAAUACCGCAUAAGCGCACAAUGUUGCAUGACAUGGUGUGAAAAACUCCGGUGGUAUAAGAUGGACCCGCGUCUGAUUAGCUAGUUGGUGAGAUAACAGCCCACCAAGGCGACGAUCAGUAGCCGACCUGAGAGGGUGACCGGCCACAUUGGGACUGAGACACGGCCCAGACUCCUACGGGAGGCAGCAGUGGGGAAUAUUGCACAAUGGAGGAAACUCUGAUGCAGCGACGCCGCGUGAGUGAAGAAGUAAUUCGUUAUGUAAAGCUCUAUCAGCAGAGAAGAUAGUGACGGUACCUGACUAAGAAGCUCCGGCUAAAUACGUG
rnacentral:rRNA from 1 species